CCCAUUUAAGAAUGGGGGACCCUUGCAUAUCCUCUCAUUUCCCCUUGGUUGGAGAGUUCACUAUUUCAUCUCUUAAAGCACUAAAUCUGUGGCCUUCUGAUCGGGCACAACUGAUUCCUGCAAGUGCCCAUCAGCUCCUGUCACAGAGCGGAGGAGGCAGCAAUAUCAUUGAGCCUCUCCAGACACUCCUACUCAUGAAUGAAUGCCUUACAUGGCAGCCCAAAUGCAAUGCUUUUUUCUUUUAACCUUUUAUGCUGCAGCCCAUGGCGAUAGUAAAAACCAUGUAGGUGAUUUGUAUUCUCCCACCAGGAUCAGUGCAAAGAGAACCAUCGGCUCCGAUUGCAACAGGCUGGAGAAAGUAUGAGAUAUUUCCAUCAGCACCACAGUAUUCAGGUGAAAAGAGACAAGAUAAAAGAGCAGGAGCAAAAGAA